GGCAGAGUGGCGCAGCGGAAGCGCGCUGGGCCCAUAACCUAGAGGUCGAUAGAUCAAAACCGUCCUCUGCUA